AAUGGACACACACACACACACACACACACACACACACUGUGUCUAGUGUCCUCACAGUAAUGGGAGGGAACUGUGCCUUACUCCCUGUGUCUCGCGCAUUGGUCGUGCGCCCACAGUGCCCCUAGGCCUGGGGAUAUGCCCUUGUCAACAGAGCGACAGCAAACACUUUACUGGAGAUGGGGCCCUGCACACACUGUGGCUUCCCUGUUCUCCCAGAACCUGGGAUCCUGCAGAUACCCCUAAGAAGAGUCCAGGCUCCCCCUGGGAGGGUCAGCCACAGCCCAGCCCCACCGAGUCGGUGCAGCCUGCACUGAGCCGCUGACCUGUGGAGAGGGUCACGCCAGACCCACAGCCCAGCCAGCCCCACUCCCAGAGGCACAUCAAGGAAGGGGGCAGAACCCUGGGGACUCUUGAUGGGCAUCUUUUCAGGAGCAGACACACGAACUGUUCCAGGAACAGGGGACCUGGGAAGGUCAGUAGCUGGUCAGGGUUUCUGAGGACCAGCGUCAGUGAUGGGACCUGCCUGUCCCUUCUCAUAUGGGAUGUCUCUCCUGGGGAUCCUGUACUGUCUUAUUUGUGCAGGUUCACUCUGUGGGACUUGUCUUUAUAAAUCUCAAAUCUCAGGAACAGGAGAGCUGUGCUUCAAAAGCCCCCAUAGAGAAGACACAUUCCCAUCCUGCUGUGACUGAAACAGCUCCAUCCUGGGCAUGGGGAGGGCUCAUGUGUCCCACCUGGGAUGAGAAGCAGCAGCCACACGUGAGCUGAGGAGGACUCAAGGCUGCUUCCCAGCACUUCCCCACAGAGUGAAAUUUGUGUGUUUGCCCCAAAUCCAGGCUGGCCCUGUGACUUGCUUCUUUCAAACUUCUUGGCCUGGAAAGUGCAGGCACCAGCUGUCACUGUCACCACUAUUGUGACAGUGUACACAGCACCAGGACAGGAUCCCAGGGAUGGGGCUGAGGACAGACACUAGCUAAGUGGACCCAUUGAAAACGUGCGGAUCUGCUGAGGUUCACACUCCUGGAAGGACAGAUCUUGGAGGGUUUGGAGGAGGAAGCAGCCACUGUCGGUGACUCAGGAUCUGCUGCUCUGCGGGUCACCUCGUUGGCAAGUAACAGUGGGCAGGUGGCCUGUUGUUCACCGAAAUAUCAUGAUGUGCACGAUUCUAUUCAAGUUGCUGAAAAUAAAAACAAAGCCAAGAAACUUCCAAAUAAAUAUGUUACAUGGAUUAAAGCUUUUCUUCAAUAAUGCAGGAGGUUUGAGAAGUUUCCCAAAAAAGUAAAAAGUGGACAAGUUCAUCACCACUAGACCGGCCUUACAGGAAUGCUAAGUGUCUCUGGCAGGUUUCCAGAACAAGGAAGUAGCUGCAUCAGCUCCACUCUGUUAUCUGCCAAUUGAUAGAUUUGCAUAGUUUUUAAUUUUAAUUUAUCUUCUGUUUUUUUCCCUCCAUAAACUCCUUCUCCCUUCCUUUCAUAAUUCUGUCUAUUAAUGCAACUCAUAUUUAGCUGAAAAUGCUGGGGUCAUUGGAAUAAAUUUCUAUUUUUCCUCCACCAAAUCUAAUAAGCUGUCUCCAGGGGUGUCCAUCUCCGUUUUCUUUUCUGCCAUUCCCAUGGGAUAAUUUCCUUGUUCCUAUGUGAGUCCAGCCCUCAUCACCAUGGGCCAUCCAACCAUCAUGCACCCAGGAACAGCUUCAGGAAAUGUACCCUGCCAGCUGCCUAUCAUCCUCCACCUGCACAGUGAUCAUUCCUUCAGCUUUCACUCAUGCUGGAGGGCUUUCUACACAAAAGGGCAUUUCACACCCACUCCCAGCACAGUUCUGGGACCCUGUAUACCUCCCAGAGACAGGUACACAUCCUUCCCCUUUGUUGUUAAUUUUGUUUAAUUUAUUUAAAAUUCACUGGGAAAUCACUGAUGAUGGGGGUGACCAGCCUGUCCAUUCCAUCUGACGGCCCCACCUGUGAGGUUGGCCACCCUAGUGUGCUGUGCUCAUGGGGCCAUCUGGACACACACAAACACCAGGUGUGUGAGUUAUUAGAGGAGACCCGGGGUCAGCAGGUGUCUGUGCCCCACAGGACACAGGUCUGUCCUGCAGUAGAGCCUGCAUGACCUGGAAUCAUACAUGUGCAUGACCCGUGGUCUCAGCACAUCAGUUGAGGCCAGCUUCAGGCAAUUCCUGUGUAACCUGCCCUGAGUGCCCACAGAGGACAGAUGCAUGACAAGGAUGUAAGGGAAUGAUGUGGGUUAGGGGAACUGAAGCUCAAUCUUUACUGAGGCUUUACUCGGCACCUGGACCUUAUGGAAGACUAAGAAGAAGAGAACAAGAGCCCGGCCCCAAAUAUCUCCUGGUUUAAGGUCAGCUUUAGUGGGAUUUUAGAGAGUAGAAGACACAGGGGUGACGCUGGAGUGGUUUUCUUUGGGAUACUUGGGGAGCAGCAGAAGGUGGGCCGGGAUCAGGACUCCAUCUGGCUGGUUCUCAUGAUCUACAUGGAUUCUCAUAGUGGAAAGUGAGAGACAUGACCUAGAACACAGCCCCCCAGGGCUGAUCUCAGAGAAGCCUGCUAAGUGAAUGACUCAGCAGAAAUGUGGUGGGGUUUUCAUCUUGGAUCUAUUUUUCUUUAUAAAAAUAAUCUGAGAGAUGUGUCAGCCUCGGUGGGCUGCUUCUCCCUCCAGGAGACGGAGCUAACACAAUUGUAUCUGUGAAUCUGCUUGGCUUUCCAUCAGAAGAUACCACAGACUAGGUAGUUUCAAAUAACAAAUAUUAAUUUUCUUAUUGUUCUGGAGUCUUGACGUCCAAGAUCUGGGUGCAGAAAGGGUUAGUUUUUUGAGAGCCCUCUUCCAGGCUUGCAAAGGGCCACCUUCUCAUGCAGCGCGUCCCCACAUGGCCUCUCCUCUGUGUGCAUGUGGAGAGAGAGGCCUCUGAUGUCUUCCACUUCCCAUAAGGACAAGAGUCCUACUGGAUUAGGGUCCCACAUUUAUGACCACAGUUAACUUAUUUGCCUUCUUAAAAUCCCUCUCUCCAAAUACAGAGCCACUGGGAUUGGGGUUUCAUCACAUGAAUUUAAGAGCAGGACACGAUGCAGCCGAUGACGCCAAUCAAGAGAUGGUGGGAAGCCUUGAAAUAUUUUUUCAAGAAGCGAGGAUGUGAGGAAGCAGAACCACAGAUAAUAAAGAAAGAGGAGGCCUGGGGACAGCUGAGGUCCUGGCGAGGAGGGAGAGCACUGAGCUGAUGAGGAAGCCCCGCCCUCCCUGCACCUGCUCCAGACCCGGCCUCUUGCUCUGUGGGCCCCGCGCGCCCCCUGCUGGCUCUGAGCAGCACCUGCGCCGGUCCCCUCCGCCUCCCUGCAGGGAGGUUUGUGUCUGGGCUCACACUCACCUCCCCUCACUGUGUCUCUCGCACAGUAAUACACGGCCGUGUCCGCGGCGGUCACAGAGCUCAGCUUCAGGGAGAACUGGUUCUUGGACUUGUCUACUGAUAUGGUGACUCGACUCUUGAGGGACGGGUUGUAGUUGGUGCUCCCACUAUGAUAGAUUUCCCCAAUCCACUCCAGCCCCUUCCCUGGGGGCUGGCGGACCCAACUCCACCAGUUACUACUGCUGAUGGAGCCACCAGAGACAGCGCAGGUGAGGGACAGGGUCCCCGAAGGCUUCACCAGUCCUGGGCCCGACUCCUGCAGCUGCACCUGAGACAGGACCCCUGUGAACAGAGAGACCCACAGUGA